AUUGAACGAUGGCGGCAGGCCUAACACAUGCAAGUCGAGCGGAGCGGCGGACGGGUGAGUAAUGACUAGGUAUCUGCCUGGUAGUGGGGGAUAACGUCCGGAAACGGGCGCUAAUACCGCAUACUAUCAGACGAGCCUAGGUCGGAUUAGCUAGUUGGUGGGGUAAAGGCCUACCAGGGCGACGAUCCGUAACUGGUCUGCGGGGAGGAUCAGUCACCCUGGAACUGAAGCACGGUCCAGCCUCCUUCGGGAGGCAGCAGUGGGGAAUAUUGGACAAUGGGCGAAAUCCUGAUCCAGCCAUGCCGCGUGUGUGAAGAAGGUCUUCGGAUUGUAAAGCACUUUAAGUUGGGAGGCGUUACCAACAGAAUAAGCACCGGCUAACUUCGUGCCAGCAGCCGCGGUAAUAC
rnacentral:rRNA from 1 species